GCAAACUUGGUCAUUUAGAGGAAGUAAAAGUCGUAACAAGGUUUCCGUAGGUGAACCUGCGGAAGGAUCAUUACCGAAUGACCCGCACCUCGCCUUGCGCGUGAGUGCUCGUCUGUGCCUCUUGAUCUUGAUCUUGGUGCUUUCAUCCCUUCCCGGGGUUUUGGGUGCCUUUCAAGAUGUCCUACCCACACACGCAAGCCUGUCAUAGUAUGGUGCUGAACAUUUAACAUAUGUAAUACAACUUUCAACAACGGAUCUCUUGGCUCUUGCAUCGAUGAAGAACGCAGC
rnacentral:misc_RNA from 1 species